rnacentral:rRNA from 1 species
AAAUUGAAGAGUUUGAUCAUGGCUCAGAUUGAACGCUGGCGGCAGGCCUAACACAUGCAAGUCGAACGGUAGCACAGAGAGCUUGCUCUCGGGUGACGAGUGGCGGACGGGUGAGUAAUGUCUGGGAAACUGCCUGAUGGAGGGGGAUAACUACUGGAAACGGUGGCUAAUACCGCAUAACGUCGCAAGACCAAAGAGGGGGACCUUCGGGCCUCUUGCCAUCAGAUGUGCCCAGAUGGGAUUAGCUAGUUGGUGAGGUAACGGCUCACCAAGGCGACGAUCCCUAGCUGGUCUGAGAGGAUGACCAGCCACACUGGAACUGAGACACGGUCCAGACUCCUACGGGAGGCAGCAGUGGGGAAUAUUGCACAAUGGGCGCAAGCCUGAUGCAGCCAUGCCGCGUGUAUGAAGAAGGCCUUCGGGUUGUAAAGUACUUUCAGCGGGGAGGAAGGUGUUGUGGUUAAUAACCACAGCAAUUGACGUUACCCGCAGAAGAAGCACCGGCUAACUCCGUGCCAGCAGCCGCGGUAAUACGGAGGGUGCAAGCGUUAAUCGGAAUUACUGGGCGUAAAGCGCACGCAGGCGGUCUGUCAAGUCGGAUGUGAAAUCCCCGGGCUCAACCUGGGAACUGCAUUCGAAACUGGCAGGCUUGAGUCUUGUAGAGGGGGGUAGAAUUCCAGGUGUAGCGGUGAAAUGCGUAGAGAUCUGGAGGAAUACCGGUGGCGAAGGCGGCCCCCUGGACAAAGACUGACGCUCAGGUGCGAAAGCGUGGGGAGCAAACAGGAUUAGAUACCCUGGUAGUCCACGCCGUAAACGAUGUCUACUUGGAGGUUGUGCCCUUGAGGCGUGGCUUCCGGAGCUAACGCGUUAAGUAGACCGCCUGGGGAGUACGGCCGCAAGGUUAAAACUCAAAUGAAUUGACGGGGGCCCGCACAAGCGGUGGAGCAUGUGGUUUAAUUCGAUGCAACGCGAAGAACCUUACCUGGUCUUGACAUCCACGGAAGUUUUCAGAGAUGAGAAUGUGCCUUCGGGAACCGUGAGACAGGUGCUGCAUGGCUGUCGUCAGCUCGUGUUGUGAAAUGUUGGGUUAAGUCCCGCAACGAGCGCAACCCUUAUCCUUUGUUGCCAGCGAUUAGGUCGGGAACUCAAAGGAGACUGCCAGUGAUAAACUGGAGGAAGGUGGGGAUGACGUCAAGUCAUCAUGGCCCUUACGACCAGGGCUACACACGUGCUACAAUGGCGCAUACAAAGAGAAGCGACCUCGCGAGAGCAAGCGGACCUCAUAAAGUGCGUCGUAGUCCGGAUUGGAGUCUGCAACUCGACUCCAUGAAGUCGGAAUCGCUAGUAAUCGUGGAUCAGAAUGCCACGGUGAAUACGUUCCCGGGCCUUGUACACACCGCCCGUCACACCAUGGGAGUGGGUUGCAAAAGAAGUAGGUAGCUUAACCUUCGGGAGGGCGCUUACCACUUUGUGAUUCAUGACUGGGGUGAAGUCGUAACAAGGUAACCGUAGGGGAACCUGCGGUUGGAUCACCUCCUUACCUUAAAGAAGC